rnacentral:rRNA from 1 species
CAGCAGCCGCGGGAAUACAUAGGUGGCAAGCGUUGUCCGGAAUUAUUGGGCGUAAAGGGCUCGCAGGCGGUUUCUUAAGUCUGAUGUGAAAGCCCCCGGCUCAACCGGGGAGGGUCGUUGGAAACUGGGAAACUUGAGUGCAGAAGAGGAGAGUGGAAUUCCACGUGUAGCGGUGAAAUGCGUAGAGAUGUGGAGGAACACCAGUGGCGAAGGCGACUCUCUGGUCUGUAACUGACGCUGAGGGGCGAAAGCGUUGGGAGCGAACAGGAUUAGAGACCCCAGUAGUCCCUGUCUCUUAUAC